GGUGUGGCUAAGCCCCGCAGCCACCAUCUGAUUGGACAACGACCUGUGGGCUGGACAAAAGUCAGCCUGCUUAAAAUGGACACAAAGCCCUCUGGCUUACUCGUC